CCUACGGGGGGCAGCAGUGAGGAAUAUUGGUCAAUGGACGAAAGUCUGAACCAGCCAUGCCGCGUGCAGGAUGACGGCUCUAUGAGUUGUAAACUGCUUUUGUAUGAGGGUAAACACACCUACGCGUAUGUGCUUGAAAGUAUAAUACGAAUAAGGAUCGGCUAACUCCGUGCCAGCAGCCGCGGUAAUACGGAGGAUGCAAGCGUUAUCCGGAUUUAUUGGGUUUAAAGGGUGCGUAGGCGGUUGGAUAAGUUAGAGGUGAAAUCCCGAGGCUCAACACCGGAAUUGCCUCUAAUACUGUUCGACUAGAGAGUAGUUGCGGUAGGCGGAAUGUAUGGUGUAGCGGUGAAAUGCUUAGAGAUCAUACAGAACACCGAUUGCGAAGGCAGCUUACCAAGCUACAUCUGACGUUGAGGCACGAAAGCGUGGGUAGCAAACAGGAUUAGAUACCCCAGUAGUC
rnacentral:rRNA from 1 species